rnacentral:tRNA from 1 species
UAGGAGGUGGUAUAAUGGGAGUACGGAGAGUUUUGAUCUCUCAAGUGCAGGUUCAAUUCCUGUCUUUCUAA